rnacentral:rRNA from 1 species
UACGGAGGGUGCAAGCGUUAUCCGGAUUCACUGGGUUUAAAGGGUGCGUAGGUGGGCAGUUAAGUCAGUGGUGAAAUCUCCGGGCUCAACCCGGAAACUGGCCAUUGAUACUAUCUGUCUUGAAUAUCGUGGAGGUAAGCGGAAUAUGUCAUGUAGCGGUGAAAUGCUUAGAUAUGACAUAGAACACCAAUUGCGAAGGCAGCUUACUACCCGAAUAUUGACACUGAGGCACGAAAGCGUGGGGAUCAAACAGG